rnacentral:rRNA from 1 species
ACGGUCCUAAGGUAGCGAAAUUCCUUGUCGGGUAAGUUCCGACCUGCACGAAUGGAGUAACGAUCUCCGCGCUGUCUCAACCAGAGACUCAGUGAAAUUGAUGUGGCGGUGAAAAUGCCGUCUACCCGCAGAAAGACGGAAAGACCCUGUGCACCUUUACUACAGCUUGACAUUGGAGCUUGGGCAAUCAUGUGUAGGAUAGGUGGGAGGCUUCGAAGCCGGCGCGCCAGCGUCGGUGGAGCCACCCUUGAAAUACCACCCUUGGUUGUCUAAGCUUCUAACCUGACGCCGUUAUCCGGCUUGGGGACAUUGUCUGGCGGGUAGUUUGACUGGGGCGGUCGCCUCCCAAAAAGUAACGGAGGCAUGCAAAGGUUCCCUCAGGCUGAUUGGAAACCAGCCGUUGAGUGCAAAGGCAUAAGGGAGCUUGACUGUGAGAGAGACAUCUCGAUCAGGGACGAAAGUGGGCCUUAGUGAUCCGGUGGUCCCGUAUGGAAGGGCCAUCGCUCAAUGGAUAAAAGGUACGCCGGGGAUAACAGGCUGAUCGCAUCCAAGAGUUCACAUCGACGAUGCGGUUUG